rnacentral:rRNA from 1 species
CGAAUGGGGCAACCCAGCAUGUUGAAGACAUGUUACCUUGAAAAUAGGAGCGAACCCGGAGAACUGAAACAUCUAAGUACCCGGAGGAGAAGAAAACAAAAGUGAUUCCGUAAGUAGUGGCGAGCGAACGCGGAUUAGCCCAAACCAGAGUUGUUACGGCAAUUUUGGGGUUGUAGGACCACGAUAUUUGAUCAUAGUUGAAUUAGAACGCUUUGGAAAGAGCGACCAUAGAGGGUGAUAGUCCCGUAUAGGUAAGGCGAACGAUUGAUAGUGGUAUCCUGAGUAGUGCGGGGCAAGGGAAACCCGUAGA